UAAUACAUUGUUAUUGGUAUGCUCAUUUUGAAUACAUUUUGGGAAAAUGGUGCUACCAUCAAUAGCCAUCAAAGUCAGGAACCUCACGAAUAAUCAAGACAUGGCAGAUUUUAGCAAAGAUGAUACCAAAAAGUUAUUUGAAAGUUUUGCAGGAUUAAAUGGGCUAUCAAAUGGUGUUAUAGGGGAUGUGAAAGAUGCAGUAAAUAAUAACAGUGUUUUAAUUGACCAAGAAAAAGACAAAUGCGUGGCACUGAAGAAAAGAAUGGGACUCAUGUCUGGAGUAGCAUUAAUCGUAGGAACAAUGAUAGGUUCAGGAAUAUUUAUUUCACCCAAAGGUGUAUUAAUGAGCACAGGAUCGGUGGGUUUGAGUUUUGUGGUGUGGCUAGGAUGUGGUGUCCUAGCUCUUAUGGGUGCUCUAUCAUAUGCUGAACUUGGUACAAUGAUCACUAAAUCUGGUGCUGAAUAUGCAUACCUCAAAGAUGCAUUUGGGCCACUCCACAAGAACCUUGGACCAGUACCAGCCUUUUUAUUUGCCUGGACCUCAGUCUUAAUAUUGAAACCAGCUUUAUUUGGGGUGGUUGCUAUGAGUUUUGGACUGUAUGCUGUAGAGCCAUUUUUCCCCUGUGGACCAUCAAGCACAGCAGUUAAAUUAGUAGCUAUUGUAUGCUUGUUAACCAUAUCCUUUAUCAACUGUUAUAGUGUAAAACUAGCGACCAAAGUACAGAAUUUCUUCACCAUUACCAAACUGAUAGCUAUAGUGGUUAUAGUAGUGGGAGGUGCUGUUAUGAUUGCCAGAGGUGAAACAGAGUAUUUACAGUCAGGGUUUGAAGGAUCGCAAACUUCACCAUCUAUUAUAGCUCUAGCAUUUUACGAUGGACUCUGGGCAUAUGAUGGAUGGAAUAAUUUGAAUUACGUCACAGAAGAGUUAAAGGAUCCUUACAAAAAUCUACCUCGAGCCAUAAUGAUUGGUAUACCUCUAGUCACUGUAUGUUAUAUACUCACCAAUGUAUCAUAUCUAACAGUAUUGUCACCAGCAGAAUUAUUAUCUGCAAGUGCAGUUGCUACGACAUGGGGACACAGAGUUCUUGGUGUUAUGGCAUUUAUUAUUCCCUUAUCUGUUGUAUUUUCUACAUUUGGUGCUGCUAAUGGGUCGUGCUUUACAGGAGGAAGAGUUAUGUUUGUUGCUGCUAGAGAAGGUCAUCUACCAGAAGUUUUAUCAUUUGUACAUACACGACAAUUCACUCCUCUUCCAUCCUUAGUAGUAUCAACAUUACUAGCCUGUAUAUUAGUAUUGAUGGGGGACAUAUUUGCAUUGAUUGACUUCUUCAGUUUUGCUGCCUGGAUGUUUUAUGGUCUAACAAUGGCAGCACUUAUUGUCAUGAGAUACACACAGAAGGAUGCUUACAGACCAUAUAAAGUACCCAUUAUAAUACCAAUUAUAGUAUUACUGUGCUCCUUUUACCUGGUGUUAGCACCAAUUCUACAGAACCCUAGGAUAGAAUUUCUCUAUGCAUCUAUAUUUAUGUUUAGUGGACUAAUAUUUUAUGUGCCAUUUGUUGUAUACAAAAAAGAAUUAUCAUUUAUGCGACAUGUGACCUACCUUUUCCAGAUGGUAUUUUGUGUUGCGCCAAGUCGAUACGAUAGAGACAUUGUAGAAUGAUUGUGAUAAACAGUACAUUUAUUAAUUAGCUUUAUUUAAAUGUAUAUUUUCUCUUACAAACUGUGAUAGAGACCAGGCAGCAUGUCCCAUGCAUUUAAAGGGAAUCUCUCCAUGGAAAGUGCGGGCAUUUGCCUUUAUAGUGUUUUGAAAUAUAUAGUACUAACUAAAUGUUUUUAUUAUAUUUGUUAUUAUUGUGAUAUUUUUAUCCAAUAUUUAAGUUAGAUUUUUUUUUUUCUCUCUCAGCUUGUUCUUGCUUGUAUUUAAUAUCCUGUUUGUUGUUGUUAACAAGUUUAUAAAAAAAAAAAAAAAAGAAAAAAGUAUUUAAAAUGAAAAAAAAAAAAAAAAAUAAAUAGAUAAAUAAAUAAAUAAAAAAAAAAAAAAAAAAAAAAAAUAUAAAGAAUUAAAAAAGUAAUAAAAAAAUAUAUAUAUGUGAAAACAUGUAUAUGAAAAAUUUAAAAAUUGUGUGCUUAGCCUUUCCUAUAUGAGAGAAUCUUUAAAAACCAUUGCCUUAGGAUUAAAGUGUAAGGUGUAAAUAUUAGGCUUCAAUUAAGUAGUAAGUACAUAUUCAUUGUUUAUAGCUCAAGCCAUCAUUGAUCAUCUAUCCUUCAUUGUGAAGUAAAUUCCAAAUUAUGUAUUGUCUUUAAACAGUAUUUUUGUAUUAAAAUUGUUGACCAGAAGAAUGGUUAUGUGUUAGUAUCAUGAAUAUAAUAUGCAAAAAGUUCCUCUGUGGAAAAUAUUGCAAUUAUUUUCACAUUGUAUUUAUUACUUUGGUCAAAAUAUUUUGUUAAGUAUGGUUUAUAUAUUUUAAUUUUGAAAUGAAGAUUUUAUUUUUUAAUUGGGAGUAAAUAUUCAUAAAAUUCAUGCCAUUCUCUGGGUUCUUUUUUUUUAUUGAUAUCAGAUACAGUUAUACUAAUUUGAUAUAUAAUUUAUCAUUCCAAUUUGAACAGAAGCAGUGUUUAGUGAUCAUUCUAUCAAAAUAAAUGCAUAAUUGCCAACCUGCAGAAGUUUUCUAUGAUAGAUAAAACAUAUUUUUAGUGAAGGGAUUUUGAAUAGCACAUUUGGGAGGCAAAUUGGCAACUAUGCAACUAUUCCAUGAUAAGAUAGCAUAUUUAAUGUAUACCAGCAUUACACAGGGAUUUUUCUGAAUAUUAAAUUUUUAUGCAAGGACCAUCAACUAAUUAGGACUGUUCAAGAAUUACAGUAAAGGCAUGUCAGGCACUUUUUUUAAGACUGUGAUCACCCAUAAAACAAAAGUUUUCAUUUUUCUUAUAAUUCUUACAAAAUUCUAAGGAAAAUGCAACCACCUAUAAUUAAUUAAUUUGAGUGCCUUCCAUCCCCCACAGGGUAAAUUUUGGGACAGCCCUAAUAUUUAAAGUCAUCCUGCCCUCAUACAUUCAUUUUGAAAAGUGGAAUUUUCAUGAUAUGUCUCACCUUAGUCUAAGUUAGAUUUUAUAUCUGUUACUUGUUAAUAAGUUAGAACUAAAGUCUUUCAUAAUGGACUUGUAAUUUGUAAAUAAAAUGUCUUAUUUAUAUAUUCGAAUCAUCAAUUCAUACUUUAAUGAUCUCUAUUUAUUUAUAUUUACUAAUGUAAUCUUUAUCUUUACUAAAUGUGAUAUUUUUUCACAUUAGUGUGUUUUGUUAUGAAUAAUUGGUAUUUGAUAUACAGAUUCUUUACAUAUGUUUAAACUAAAUAUGUGAAACAGAUUCCGUUCUCAUCUUCUCCCAAAAGUUAUCAGAUAUGCAGUCAAAGUGUGAUUUCUCAUUGUCUUAAUUAUAUGAAGAAAAAUUCCAUGCUUUUCUUCUUAGGCAAUAAACUAAGAUAUCAAGUUUAUGGAUGUAAGAAUAAGAUAAAAAAAAAAACUUUGUUAAUUAUAAAACAUUCCUAUUGUCUUAAAUCUUCUUCCUUUUAUAGAAGAAACCCAUUGAUAAAACCUGGAGCAGAAUUUUUUAUUUUGUAAGACUUUACAAAACAUGGUAAAGUUGUUCCAUUUUAAACUCAUUUUCAUUCUUAAAUAUUUAUUUCUAUAUUUAUUUUCAUACUGUAAAUUCAGAAAUUUUUUAAAUGUUUUUAUUAUUGCAUUAUUUGCAACGCACAGUUUUCACAAAAAUUAAAACUCACAUUUUUAAUUUUGGUAAUAUUAUUUGUAUGCAGAUUUCCUGAAAUCAAAAUAAUUUAUCUAUUGUUCUACAUUUGCAAUAAGAAAGGCGCUAAAAAAUUUCUGAAUUUAUUGUACAUUAAAACCUUUCAGUUAAGACAAUUCAUUCUGUCUUUUGAUUGAUGCCUUAAAGAUGUGUAAGAAUUCAUUUAAUCACUCCUUGCAACUUGUAACCCUAUUAUUGAAAUUUUUUUCAUAGUGGUGUAACAAUUCACCAAACAAGGUUCAGUUCAGUUUUUUUGGUUAUUUUAUUGCAAUAUGUACCAAAAAUAUGUUUAGUGUAUCGUUACACCUCUGGGUUUGUCAUUGUUACGAUUUACAUAUAUAAUUUACUAGUAAACCAGCACACCAUACUACCAUGGUACAUUGAGAAAAAGUUUACACUUUUACUUGAUUACUUUGAGGUUAAUUCAUAGUGUCAUUUGGUAUUUUAGCUUGUUGUCUUGCUCAAAAAUGUAUGCUCAGCUAGAGUAUGUUUUAAUAAGUGUUGUUUAUAAGAUAUAGACAAUGUAUAUUGGAUAAUAUUUUAUCAGACCUGUCCGUCUAGUUUAAGCUGAUGUUCAGUGUAUUUCAAUAUACUUCACAUUUGUAGGUUGCACCAUCAUGCAGAUGCAGAUAUUUUUUUGACUUAACACUUUAAUUAAUGAUUGUUUAUUUAUUUUAAAGCAUCAUCAAAUACCAUAACAGUAUUUGAUUUCAGGGUACAUAUAAAUAAAAUUUAUGAAUGUUGUAUAUUGUGUACCAUUUUCAUGAAUGUUAUGUUACUGGUAAAUGGACAUAUUUUUUUUUUACGAUACACCAAUUAAAUAUGAGCAUUUAGAAAGUUGAACCAAAAACAAAAGAAAACUUAUUUCAAAAUUGUGAUGCUAUCUUUCUCUAUUAAAACUUCAUAUAUAUACUUUUACCAGUCCAAUUAGUAUGGAUGACUAAGAUUCCCAGUUUAAUCCCAGUGAUAAAUAUGAAAACAUGGCUGUGGUCUGUUUUUUUAAGGCUGUGCAAGAAUCUAGGAAAAUUUCUAUUAUGGUUAUAAGAUACUUGUUUUUUCCCUGUUAGCAAAUUUAGUAUGCUAGUAUACCACUGUGUAUUGUUUAAAUAUCAAAAUUUUGUUGUUGAAGAGAACAUGCGAGUAGCUGCAAUGAGUGUUGAAUUUAAUUGGAUACAUAUUUGUAUAUUUCUGUGAUGGUCUGCCAGUCGAAAGUGAAAAAACGACAUAUGUACCGGUGUUCUGUAAUUAUCUGUGAUGGGAUGUCCGAUAAUAAUUUAUAAUUUCCAAGAUCUUGUUAAAUAAAGUAAAUGCUCCUUUACAAAGUAUACAAGAACGAAUCUCUGGAUUGUAUUGGUUGUAUUAUUGAAUCUUUAUUUAUAUGAUAAUAAAUGUUAUGUAUAUAUUUUUACUUUUUAGUUAUACUGUAGGAGCCAUCUUGUAAAUUUAUUCAUCACUUCCUUGUUAAUAUUCAUUAUAGAUUUUGUAUUGUUUCUCAUUCUGUAUAGUUUUUGUUUUUGUAUGUAUUUGUACAUACUGACAUAUUUAUUUAUUUUAAAAGUGCUGUUUCUUUCCUUUAACACACAAAACUGUUAAAUAUAUUUUUUAUUGAAAAAACUUUUUUUUUCUCUCUUAAUUUUAUUUACUAUACAAAAAGACUAGAAAAGAGCCUUUGAACAAUUUUUUUCUCUUGUGGUAGAUAAUUCUGUAAUCAUGCCACAGGAAUGUUCCACUCAAUUUGAUUGAUUGAUUGUUGGUUUCCAGUAAUUUGAAUUUAAUUUGAUGAAACCAUUAAGUUGAAAAGUAACCCAACUAAUCAUGGUUACCCAGGUAUGUGACUGAUUAUAAGGUGUAUGCCUGUUUGUAAUAUUGGGACAUAAAAAUAAACCAAAAAUGCUCCCAAGAUUUGCAGACAUAAUAAAUAUUCCUUCAAAAUUUAUUUCUCAAAUACUUGAUGCCUUAGAACAUUUGUAGUUACAGUUGAAAUAAUAUAGCAUGCAAGUCAAGAGUUUAAAUGCCUUGCUUGCAAACUUUGUUUGGCUGUUUAAUCAGACAUUGUAAUUAAGAUUGACACCUAAAUUCAAUGGGUAGGCGGAGUAACAGUCUGUAUUCUAUAGCUCACUAUACAAAUCAUUGGCCUACCCAUUUAAUUUAGGUGUCAAUCUUAAUUACAAUGUCUGAGCAAAUAACCAAACAAAGUUUGCAAGCAAGGCAUUUAAACUCUUGAUUUGCAUAUCUUUAUUAUUUCAACUGUAAAUUAUUUGAUUUGCUUAUAUUUAUAUCACUUAGUCUGUAGUUGUGAAGCAAUAUCUUAAGUUGUUAUUCAGAGUGUUUUACAUGUUAUUAAACUGAACAAAUAAAUAUGCAUUUUAUGUUUACAUGGUAUGAUUGCAUUGACUAUUUGUGAUGUCAGAAAGGUAUUGUAAGAAUGUGCCAUUUCAAAGGUGCUUAUAGGAUUAUAAUUUGAUUGUAAAUGAGAAGUAUAGCUUGUCUUUUCUUUAUUACAACAUGAGUCAUUCAAGCAAUUGCAAUGGUUAAGCAUUAGGUCACACCAAAUGAAUUCAUUGUUCUCGUGACCUACUUUGCUCAUAAACUUUCUUGAUUAAAAAAUCAGAUUCUUAUGAGGGGGGGGUAUCUGCACGGAAGAACGCGAAAUAAAAUUGCCAUUUCACGAUGAACAAACAAUUAAAAAUUUCUUGCACGUUGAUCUUUUUACCGAUUUCACGAAACACGGUGAAUAACGAACCUUUUUCACGACUGCACGUGAAAUAAAAAUGGCAAAACACGUUGCAUGAAAAUAACCUUUUACCACCCUCUCUUAUGUAUUGCCUCUUCUUUCCUUUUUUAGCUCACCUGACCUGAAAGGUCAAGUGAGCUUUUCUCAUCACUUUGCGUCCGUCGUCCUGCGUCCGUCGUCCGUCGUCCGUAAACUUUUACAAAAAUCUUCUCCUCUGAAACUACUGGGCCAAAUUUAACCAAACUUGGCCACAAUCAUCAUUGGGGUAUCUAGUUUUAAAAAUGUGUGGCGUGACCCGGUCAACCAACCAAAAUGGCCGCCACGGCUAAAAAUAGAACAUAGGGGUAAAAUGCAGUUUUUAGCUUAUAACUCAAAAACCAAAGCAUUAAGAGCAAAUCUGACAUGGGGUAAAAUUGUUCAUCAGGUCAAGGUCUAUCUGCCCUGAAAUUUUCAGAUGAAUCGGACAACCCGUUAUUGGGUUGCUGCCCCUGAAUUGGUAAUUUUAAGGAAAUUUUGCUGUUUUUGGUUAUUAUCUUGAAUAUUAUUAUAGAUAGAGAUAAACUGUAAACAGCAAUAAUGUUCAGCAAAGUAAGAUUUACAAAUAAGUCAAUAUAACCGAAAUGGUCAGUUGACCCCUUUAGGAGUAAUUGCCCUUUAUAGUCAAUUUUUAACCAUUUUUCGUAAAUCUUAGUAAUCUUUUACAAAAAUCUUCUCCUCUGAAACAACUGGGCCAAAUUAAACCAAACUUGGCCACAAUCAUCAUUGGGGUAUCUAGUUUAAAAAAUGUGUGGCGUGACCUGGCCAACCAACCAAGAUGGCCGCCACAGCUAAAAAUAAAACAUAGGGGUAAAAUGCAGUUUUUGGCUUAUAACUCAAAAACCAAAGCAUUUAGAGCAAAUCUGACAUGAAGUAAAAUUGUUUAUCAGGUCAAGAUCUAUCUGCCCUGAAAUUUUCAGAUGAAUCGGACAACCCGUUGUUGGGUUGCUGCCCCUGAAUUGGUAAUUUUAAGGUGAUUUUGCUGUUUUUGGUUAUUAUCUUGAAUAUUAUUAUAGAUAGAGAUAAACUGUAAAAAACAAUAAAUGUCGGCAAAGUAAGAUCUACAAAUAAGUCAACAUGACCGAAAUUGUCAGUUGACCCCUUUAGGAGUUAUUGCCCUUUAUAGUCAAUUUUUAACCAUUUUUUCGUAAAUCUUAGUAAUCUUUUACAAAAAUCUUCUCCUCUGAAACAACUGGGCCAAAUUAAACCAAACUUGGCCACAAUCAUCAUUUGGUUAUCUUGUUUUGAAAAUGUGUGGCGUGACCUGGUCAACCAACCAAGAUGGCCGCCACGGCUAAAAAUAGAACAUAGGGGUAAAAUUCAGUUUUUGGCUUUUAACUCAAAAACCAAAGCAUUUAAAGCAAAUCUGACACGAAUUAAAAUUGUUUAUCAGGUCAAGAUCUAUCUGCCCUGAAAUUUUCAGAUGAAUCGGACAACCCGUUGUUGGGUUGCUGCCCCUGAAUUGGUAAUUUUAAGGUGAUUUUGCUGUUUUUGGUUAUUAUCUUGAAUAUUAUUAUAGAUAGAGAUAAACUGUAAAAAACAAUAAAUGUCGGCAAAGUAAGAUCUACAAAUAAAUCAACAUGACCGAAAUUGUCAGUUGACCCCUUUAGGAGUUAUUGCCCUUUAUAGUCAAUUUUUAACCAUUUUUUCGUAAAUCUUAGUAAUCUUUUACAAAAAUCUUCUCCUCUGAAACUACUGGGCCAAGUUAAUUAUAGAUAGAGAUAAUUGUAAGCAGGAAAAAUGUUCAGUAAAUUAAGAUGUACAAACACAUCACCAUCACCAAAACACAAUUUUGUCAUGAAUCCAUCUGCGUCCUUUGUUUAAUAUUCACAUAGACCAAGGUGAGCGACACAGGCUCUUUAGAGCCUCUAGUUUCAAAUCUGAAUUACAAAAUAAAAAGGAAUUGUUCUGUCAAUAAAAUCUUAUGAAUGAACAAGUAAAAAAUUAAAAUAUGUCCUUAACUUACAUAUUUAAAACUGCUCAGUUAUUUGUCUAUUUAAGGGGGAAAAUAUAAUAAAUGUUUCACUUGCUUGUCCCCAUUUUUAACAGGAAACAUUAAAAGAACAGCAUAUUAAUUUGGUAUGGCUCUAAAUAUAACCAUGCAUUGCAGUUCCAGCUUCAAAACUCAGAAAAUGGCUUCAACCGUCAUAUUAUACCAAUUAAUACUUGUAACCAUUGAUUGUAUACUGGAAUUGUUAUUAAGUAUUCAGUUAUAUUAUACCCAUUAAUACUUGUAACCAUUGAUUGUAUACUGGAAUUGUUAUUAAGUAUUCAGUUAUAUUAUACCCAUUAAUACUUGUAACCAUUGAUUGUAUACUGGAAUUGUUAUUAAGUAUUCAGUUAUAUUAUACCCAUUAAUACUUGUAACCAUUGAUUGUAUACUGGAAUUGUUAUUAAGUAUUCAGUUAUAUUAUACCCAUUAAUACUUGUAACCAUUGAUUGUAUACUGGAAUUGUUAUUAAGUAUUCAGUUAUAUUAUACCCAUUAAUACUUGUAACCAUUGAUUGUAUACUGGAAUUGUUAUUAAGUAUUCAGUUAUAUUAUACCCAUUAAUACUUGUAACCAUUGAUUGUAUACUGGAAUUGUUAUUAAGUAUUCAGUUAUAUUAGAAGUCUGAGAAAAAAACUUGACUCGUGUUGUAAUUAAAAACAAUUGACAAAGAUGUACUUUAAUUUAAAAUGUGUGUAAUUGGUUGAUCAUGUUUAUUUAUAUAUUUCUUCUUUAUUUUUGAAAUUCAUAAAAUGAAGAAGUUAAUAAAUAUAGCAGAAAA